GAUGAACGCUGGCGGCGUGCCUAAUACAUGCAAGUCGAACGCACAGCGAAAGGUGCUUGCACCUUUCAAGUGAGUGGCGAACGGGUGAGUAACACGUGGAUAACCUACCUCAAGGUUGGGGAUAACAUUUGGAAACAGAUGCUAAUACCGAAUAAAACUUCGUAUCGCAUGAUACAAGGUUAAAAGGCGCUACGGCGUCACCUAGAGAUGGAUCCGCGGUGCAUUAGUUAGUUGGUGGGUAAAGGCCUACCAAGACAAUGAUGCAUAGCCGAGUUGAGAGACUGAUCGGCCACAUUGGGACUGAGACACGGCCCAAACUCCUACGGGAGGCUGCAGUAGGGAAUCUUCCACAAUGGGCGAAAGCCUGAUGGAGCAACGCCGCGUGUGUGAUGAAGGCUUUC
rnacentral:rRNA from 1 species